rnacentral:rRNA from 1 species
GAUGAACGCUGGCGGCGUGCCUAAUACAUGCAAGUCGAGCGAACGGACGAGGAGCUUGCUCCUCUGACGUUAGCGGCGGACGGGUGAGUAACACGUGGAUACCCUACCUAUAAGACUGGGAUAACUUCGGGAAACCGGAGCUAAUACCGGAUAAUAUUUUGAACCGCAUGGUUCAAUAGUGAAAGACGGUUUUGCUGUCACUUAUAGAUGGAUCCGCGCUGCAUUAGCUAGUUGGUAAGGUAACGGCUUACCAAGGCAACGAUGCGUAGCCGACCUGAGAGGGUGAUCGGCCACACUGGAACUGAGACACGGUCCAGACUCCUACGGGAGGCAGCAGUAGGGAAUCUUCCGCAAUGGGCGAAAGCCUGACGGAGCAACGCCGCGUGAGUGAUGAAGGUCUUCGGAUCGUAAAACUCUGUUAUUAGGGAAGAACAGAUGUGUAAGUAACUGUGCACGUCUUGACGGUACCUAAUCAGAAAGCCACGGCUAACUACGUG